UAGCACAGUGGUUAGUGCAGUCUGCCGGAAACAGAAAGACGCGGGUUCAAUUCCCGU
rfam:Nippostrongylus brasiliensis genome assembly, scaffold: NBR_scaffold0001101